rnacentral:rRNA from 1 species
AGCGAACGCUGGCGGCAGGCCUAACACAUGCAAGUCGAACGAACUCUUCGGAGUUAGUGGCGGACGGGUGAGUAACACGUGGGAACGUGCCUUUAGGUUCGGAAUAACACAGGGAAACUUGUGCUAAUACCGAAUGUGCCCUUCGGGGGAAAGAUUUAUCGCCUUUAGAGCGGCCCGCGUCUGAUUAGCUAGUUGGUGAGGUAAAGGCUCACCAAGGCGACGAUCAGUAGCUGGUCUGAGAGGAUGAUCAGCCACAUUGGGACUGAGACACGGCCCAAACUCCUACGGGAGGCAGCAGUGGGGAAUCUUGCGCAAUGGGCGAAAGCCUGACGCAGCCAUGCCGCGUGAAUGAUGAAGGUCUUAGGAUUGUAAAAUUCUUUCACCGGGGACGAUAAUGACGGUACCCGGAGAAGAAGCCCCGGCUAACUUCGUG